UACGUAGGGUGCAAGCGUUGUCCGGAAUUAUUGGGCGUAAAGAGCUCGUAGGCGGUCUGUCGCGUCGGAUGUGAAAACCCAGGGCUCAACCCUGGGCCUGCAUUCGAUACGGGCAGACUAGAGUUCGGUAGGGGAGACUGGAAUUCCUGGUGUAGCGGUGAAAUGCGCAGAUAUCAGGAGGAACACCAGUGGCGAAGGCGGCUCACUGGCCCGGUACUGACGCUGAGGUGCGAAAGCGUGGGGAGCAAACAGG
rnacentral:rRNA from 1 species